UACCAGCUCUCCGAGUGGUGUGGAUGUUUAUUGGGCCUAAAGCAUCCGUAGCUGGCUGGGCAAGUCCCCUGUUAAAUCCACCGAUUUAAUCGUUGGUGUGCGGGGGAUACUGUUCGGCUAGGGGACGGGAGAGGCCGACGGUAUUUUCGGGGUAGGGGUGAAAUCCUGUAAUCCCGGGAGGACCACCAGUGGCGAAGGCUGUCGGCUAGAACGCGCCCGACGGUGAGGGAUGAAAGCUGGGGGAGCGAACCGGAUUAGAUACCCGGGUAGUCCCAGCUGUAAACGAUGCAGGCUAGGUGUUUGGGCGGCCACGUGCCGCUCUAGUGCCGCAGAGAAGUCGUUAAGCCUGCCGCCUGGGGAGUACGGCCGCAAGGCUGAAACUUAAAGGAAUUGGCGGGGGAGCGACCACAAGGGGUGAAGCUUGCGGUUU
rnacentral:rRNA from 1 species